AUGCAGUCGACGCUGAGCUCCCAGCUUGCUGGGGGUGGAUGAGUGGCGAACGGGUGAGUAACACGUGAGUAACCUGCCCCGAACUCUGGGAUAAGCGCUGGAAACGGCGUCUAAUACUGGAUAUGUCCUAUCACCGCAUGGUGUGUAGGUGGAAAGAAUUUCGGUUCGGGAUGGACUCGCGGCCUAUCAGCUAGAUGGUGAGGUAAUGGCUCACCAUGGCGACGACGGGUAGCCGGCCUGAGAGGGUGACCGGCCACACUGGGACUGAGACACGGCCCAGACUCCUACGGGAGGCAGCAGUGGGGAAUAUUGCACAAUGGGCGCAAGCCUGAUGCAGCAACGCCGCGUGAGGGAUGACGGCCUUCGGGUUGUAAACCUCUUUUAGUAGGGAAGAAGCGCAAGUGACGGUACCUGCAGAAAAAGCACCGGCUAACUACGUGCCAGCAGCCGCGGUAAUACGUAGGGUGCAAGCGUUGUCCGGAAUUAUUGGGCGUAAAGAGCUCGUAGGCGGCUUGUCGCGUCUGCUGUGAAAACCAGAGGCUCAACCUCUGGCCUGCAGUGGGUACGGGCAAGCUAGAGUGCGGUAGGGGAGAUUGGAAUUCCUGGUGUAGCGGUGGAAUGCGCAGAUAUCAGGAGGAACACCGAUGGCGAAGGCAGAUCUCUGGGCCGUAACUGACGCUGAGGAGCGAAAGCAUGGGGAGCGAACAGGAUUAGAUACCCUGGUAGUCCAUGCCGUAAACGUUGGGAACUAGAUGUAGGGCCUGUUCCACGGGUUCUGUGUCGUAGCUAACGCAUUAAGU
rnacentral:rRNA from 1 species